UAUUAAAAAUUUCAUCCAUUUCUACUAUUAAAAAUUGGCGUAAUUGACAAAAUAACCAAAUAGGUUCACGUGGCGUGCCACAUGUAUCUCAUUCUAACGUACAGGGACUAGUUUAUAACAGAAGUAAUGGAUGAAAUUUUUAACA
rfam:Gossypium hirsutum cultivar TM-1 chromosome 1, whole genome shotgun sequence